UCCUCGCGGUCAAAUUUCUCCCAUUGUUGCAGGCUUGCAGCUCCCCGUCAUUGGACGCAACCACGAGUUUUGCUUCUUUAUCUGUUUACCGUGGCGACAUUUGUUACGGUAGAGGAGUUGUGCGUCAGUGUUGGUUUCGUAGAUUUUCAUCGGUUGAGUUCGGUAAGUUUAUCAUCACUCAAAAUACUCCCCAACGCAGGUUGUCUUCUUCAUCUUCUCUUCUCUUUAGUCAUUUGGCUUCGUCUAAUUCUAAUCCUAAACAUUCUAAUACAUAUUUCUGCAUUUAUACUUCAAUUUUAAUCCUCCAGCAGUUAUUCGAAAUCUACUCGAGGAAUCAAAUUCAUCGAAAAUACUUCUCAACGGGUCUUAUAUUAAAAUAUUGUUACCAUGAGUAGUACCGGAAAAUCUUGGAUGUACAACAGAAUGCGUAACGGAAUUUUGAAUAGGGAUUUUGUGGCCGGGGUAAAUGAUUUUCUCAAUUAUUUUGUAACCAAGCCCAAGGUAUAUAAGAUUAACAGAAAGAUAAAAUGUCCAUGUAAGUGUUGUGCCAAUGCUCCAUUUCUUCCGGUGGAGGACGUUAAGCAUCACCUAUACACUAAGGGUUUCGUAAGAUUGUACGAGUGAUGGAUAUGUCAUGGUGAAACACAUGAUGAGAGUGGUACCUCCCAGGCAUCGGAGGUCCAACAAAUUGAAGCAUAAAUUGAUCAUAGAAUGGGUUUUUAUGCACAUAUGAUGAUGGAUGUUGUAGGACCAGAGUUUGAGGUUCGUAGGGAAGAGGAGGAUCCUAAUCCUGAAGAUAAGAAACUAUACGAUCUCUUAAGGACAGCAGAUAAGCAAUUGUGGAAAGGUUGUACCAAAGCAACUUUACUAUCAACAGUGGCUAGAAUGGUUACUAUUAAGGCGGAUUUUAAUCUACCUGAGAAAUAGUUUGAUGUGCAGUGCCAGUUGGUGCAUGACAUCAUGCCAGAGGAUAAUUGUUUCGUCAAGAACUUUUAUGAAACCAAGAAGUUGAUUGAGGGUUUGGGUCUUCUAGUAGAAAAGAUAGACUGUUGUCAGUUGGGUUGUAUGUUGUAUUGGAGAGAAGACGCCGAACUAAACAGUUGCAGGUUUUGCAAUAAAGCUUGAUACAAGGAAAAAAAAUGGAAAAAGGGUACUUGUUCGGUAUAUAAUCUACUUUCCGCUCACACCAAGGUUAAAACACUUAUAUGUUUCCUCUCAGAAAGCUUCAUUCCUGUAAUGGCAUGCGGACCAUCGACAUACCAAUGAGGAUGAUAUAUGUCAUCCGUGUGACUCAAAGGCGCGGAAACAUUUGGAUGCAAGAUAUCCAUCAUUUGCAUCGAAGGCUAGAAAUGUGAGAUUGGGUCUUUGCACUGAUGGAUUUCAGCCAUUUGGACAAUAUGGAAAACAAUACUCUUGUUGGCCAGUAGUUGUGACACCAUACAAUCUUCCGUCUAAUAUGUGUUUAAAGGACGAGUAUAAAUUUUUAUCGCUUGUUGUACAGGGAGGUGCAAAUCCAAAACAAAAAAUUGAUGUAUACUUACAGCCUUUGAUAGAAGAGUUGAACAUGUUGUGGAGCGUUGGGGUUGAAACAUUUGAUGUUUUCCGUAAGGAGAAUUUUAUUAUGAGAGCAGCCGUAUUGUGGACUGUAGGUGAUCUCCUCGCUUAUUCGAUGUUGUCUGGUUGGAGUACAUCAGGAAAGACAGCAUGCCCAAUCUGUCAGAAUCAAACUGUGUCUUUUCAUCUCCCUAGUGGUUGUAAGCAAUCGUGGUUUGAUACACAUCGUAGAUUUCUACCGGCCAGUCAUCCAUUUCGAUCUGACAAGAAGAAAUUUAAAGAGGAUAAUUGAUUCACGACCUCCACCGCAUAUUAAAUCUGGGGAUGAUCAAGUUCGGGAACUCGAUCGAUAUGGCUUUUUAAAAGUAACAUAGAUGAAUGCUGAUGAGACUAAUAAAAGGCUAUGCAAAUUAUGCGGGUGGCGUAAAAGAAGCAUAUUCUGGGACUUGCCAUAUUCGAAAGACUUGUUGAUUCGAUAUAAUCUAGAUGUUAUGCACAUUGAGAAGAAUGUGUUUGAAAAUAUAUUCAAUACUAUAAUGGAUGUGAAGGGUAAAACAAAAGACAAUGCUAAAGCACGGGCAGGCAUGACAAUAUUUUGUGAUUAAAAAGAGCUUGAAUUUGAGGCGGCCCGAAAUUGCUAUCCUCUCGCGGCAAACACAAUAGACAAAGCGGGACAAAAAGAAUUCUUAUAUUGGGUUGAAAAGUUAAAAAUGCCUGACGGAUAUAUGUCUAAUUUGCGCCGGUGUGUCAAUAUGACGAAGCACAAGAUGUUCGGAAUGAAAAGCCACAAUUGCCAUGUUUUUAUGCAACGUCUCAUUCCGAUUAGGUUUCGUGAGUUGUUGCCAAAGAAGAUUUUGGGAGCCAUUGACAGAACUGAGCAAUUAUUUCCUUCGUUUGACGUCCAAAACUAUCACGGUGAGUGAUAUGGAAUUAAUAGAGAAAGAGAUCCCGGUGAUUUUAUGUAAAGUUGAGACAAUAUUCAUCCCUGCAUUCUUUGAUAGCAUGGAGCAUCCCCCCAUACACCUACCAUACGAAGCAAGAAUUUGAGGUCCUGUUCAAUUUCGUUGGAUGUAUCCAUUCGAAAGGUAUUGAUGUUUUUAUUUGUUUUAAUACCCUAGUAUGUACUUGUAAAUACUCACCAAUGUGUUUGUCACAGAUUUUUAAAUCGUCUGAAAAAGAUGGUAAAAAAUAAAGCACAUGUCGAGGGAUCAAUUGUUAAUGCAUUUCUCGUAAGAGAAGUUGGAUUCUUUUGUUCACAUUAUUUUGAACAACAUGUGCACACGCGUACAAGAAAUGUGCCGAGACAAGAUGUUGGCGGCCCCUAUUUGCAACGAUGUACAACUAUUGCAGCUUUCAAUCAUUCUGCAUGCUUGCAAGGAAAAGGAAAAAAGCAAUUUCUUACUCCUGUAGAAAGAAAGUCAAUCCAUACAUACUUCUUGCUCAAUUGUCCUGAAGUUGAACCAUUUAUUUUGUAAGUAUAUCACUUAAAAUCAAAUUUGAUUUCAAUAAUAUUUUGAAUAAGCAUCUUAACUAUAAUAUUCUCUAUAGGCUAUUUGAAGAAACAUUAAGGCAGGCAAAUCCCUCAAUAUUUGAUGUUGAACUUGCCUCCGAACUUCAUGCUAAUUUCUCUAGUUGGUUUUCUCAAUAUGUAAGUAAAUCACACUGAAUGAAUAUUUUUUCAACAAGUUAAGUUAACUUCCUACACAUUACAUGGAAUAAAAAUUAUUUGUAAUGUAGGUUUCAAAUCACGUCAAUAUCAAUCUAACUUUCAAAGAUAUUGCACAUGGUCCAUUAGUGGAGGUAAUCACAUAUUCCAUAUGUUCCACACAGAAAAGCAUGGUUCUACCAAGGAGACGUACAAUUGUGGUGUUUGCAUAGAUGGGGGAGGCUUAGUAUAUUACGGAAAACUCCAAGAAAUUAUGGAGGUUGAAUUUCCAGCCCUUCUUAUCAAAAGGUGUGUGGUCUUCAAUUGUGAGUAGUUCAAUCUGACGAGGGGCUUGGGCACUAAAAAACAUGAGAAAUACAAUCUAAUAGAGGUAAAUAAAUAAAAAAAUCUUCGGAGUUACGAAACUUUUAUAUUGGGCAUGCAAGCAUCUCAAGUAUCUUAUAUACCAUUCCUAAGUCUCAAAAAAGACAAGGAAGACUGGUUGGUUGUAUGUCGAGUCAAGCCUCGUGGUUGGAUUGAAGUAAAGAAGAGUGAUACAUAUAUUGUGCCCGUACAUAAAACAUACCAAGAUGCAAUGGUUGAGUCUUGUGCCAUUGAAGGGGUUACCACUGGCAAAAAUUUGAAUUUUAGUGUCUCUUGAAGGUGUUGGGGGAAUACCAUUGGAGGAUUCAGAUCUAUCUGACACCGAUGAAGAGGUUUAUCUCGAAACAUCUGACUCUGAGACUAACUACAUGGAGGAGACUAGCGAUGAAGAUGAUGUUUCAUAUGAAUAGAUGAGGAGAUUGACCAACAGAUAUCAGAUGUUGUUCGAGUUUAUGUUGAGGGGAGACAAGAGAGAGGACGAGGGCAACAAAUAGGACAUACGGAUGAGGUGUACCUGACCAAUCAUGGAGGAUCAACUUCAACGAUAGCGCCUAUCGCUGAUAAUAGCAUUAAGAUCAAUGUAGAGCCAAAUUGAAGUGUCUUGUGGCCUCAAGAAGCCUCAAAGGAGUUCCGGGAUAUCUUUCGUUCAUCCAUCCAUCGUCAAGGCACUUCUUGGAUGAAAGUUCCGCCGAACAUCAAACAGUGGUAUGCAAAGGAAAUGAAGAAGCAUGUUACGUGGGACUCCACUAAUGAGAAGAAAGCCCUAUGUGUGUACAAAAAAAAGGCCCAAAAUGCAUACAAACAGUGGUUGCAUGGCAUCCAGCAUGGAAAAGACAAAAAGGCCGAUGAAGUUCUCGACCCGGAGGCCUUGGCUGAAUGGACGAGGGUUUGGAGCUCUAAUGAUGCCAAAAAGAAAUCGGAGAUUGCAAAGAAAAUUAGGCGGCGGGGUCUUCCAGAUGUUACAUCUGAGGCUACGCAUACAUGAGGGUCUCGGUCAUUUUAUGAGAUGUCCAAGAAGAUGGGAUUGAAUAUGACUGAAACGUAUGUUUGGGCCCAUACAAAGAAACACAACCGGAUUGACUAUGAGGAUUUGGAUGCCAUUGUGGGGGUCCUGACACAGCAAGGCACUACCAGGGUUGAUAUGGACAGGGUGUUUCUAAAAUUUGUUCCACGGAAUAAAAAAAAUUGGAUAUUUGGGCUCGGGUCUUUAGCGAGUACAGUACCCGCUAAUCGAUCGUCUUUCAUGAGCGAUGCUUAUUCUUCGGCCAUUGUAGACAUUGAUCAGCACCUCAAACAAAUGGAAACUAAAUUCAAUGAUCGACUUCAGCAUAUUGAUGAUUAUGUUCACCAUGUGGAUGAUCGGGUGGAGAGUAUUGAACAAAUCCACCAAACCAUCGUCAAUCAAAACCUCAGCAUUAUGGAGGAGCUCCGUAGGUUACGAGCAGACUUCAACCGCCGUGGCCCUAACGGUGAUGCAGGUCCUCCUAUCACAUGAUGAUGUUGUGGCUGCUUGUGAGAUUGUCAGCUGUAAUGUUGUGGAGGUGCAGUGCCAGGGGUCGGUUCCCUCGAUUUUAGUGGACAACACCUCAGGUUACCAGGUGUACUGGUACCUGUAUCAGAAUCAGAUGGCAAAUAGGCGUUAUUCUUAUAGGUGAUAAAUGUAUUAGGUAUAUUGAUGUUUAUAUUUUGUUUUGGGAGACAUUAAAUACUCUUAUUGGUUAUGGAUGCAUUAGAUAUAUUGAAUUUUAUAUUUUUUUGGGAGACAUUAAAUACUUUUAUCGGUUAUGGAUACAUUAGGUAUAUUGAUGCUUAUAUCUUGU